UUUGGCUCAUUCUGCACACGCAAAAUAAUGCGUUUUCAAACCACUUUCACAACUGUUUGCAAGUGGAUUUUGCCAUUCACUUUCAUUUCAAAAGAGCAUAGAAAGCGGUUUGAAGGUGCCUUAUUCUGCGCAGUG